rnacentral:rRNA from 1 species
AAAAGCAUACCACGUUGAAAGCACCGGUUCUCGUCCGAUCACCGAAGUUAAGCAGCGUUGGGUCCGGUGAGUACUUGAAUGGGUGACCGGCUGGAAAAACCGGGUGUUGCAGGCU